rnacentral:rRNA from 1 species
GAUCAUGGCUCAGGAUGAACGCUAGCUACAGGCUUAACACAUGCAAGUCGAGGGGAAACGACAUCGAAAGCUUGCUUUUGGUGGGCGUCGACCGGCGCACGGGUGAGUAACGCGUAUCCAACCUGCCCACCACUUGGGGAUAACCUUGCGAAAGUAAGACUAAUACCCAAUGAUAUCUCUAGAAGACAUCUGAAAGAGAUUAAAGAUUUAUCGGUGAUGGAUGGGGAUGCGUCUGAUUAGCUUGUUGGCGGGGUAACGGCCCACCAAGGCGACGAUCAGUAGGGGUUCUGAGAGGAAGGUCCCCCACAUUGGAACUGAGACACGGUCCAAACUCCUACGGGAGGCAGCAGUGAGGAAUAUUGGUCAAUGGGCGAGAGCCUGAACCAGCCAAGUAGCGUGCAGGAUGACGGCCCUAUGGGUUGUAAACUGCUUUUAUAAGGGAAUAAAGUGAGCCUCGUGAGGCUUUUGCAUGUACCUUAUGAAUAAGGACCGGCUAAUUCCGUG